GUCCUUCUCCCCCUCGCAGCGCUCCACGCCACUCUGGUUGGUCUUCUCCAGCUCCCAGUUGGCGUUGUAGUAAAUGCAUUCCCUCGUCUCUGCCUCCCCGUGACCUGGUCCUGCGCCCAAAGUUGCACAGAGCACGGCCAAAGUCAGCCACGAAGCGCUCAUAUUCCUUCACUCGGUGUGGUUUUGCGUUUUGGUUUUUGUUUGUUUGUUUGUUUGUUUCUCUCUCUCUCUCCUCGCGUGCCCCUCUUUCCCAAGGGGAAAUAUAAAACGUAUUCAAAAUAAAGAGCUGGAAGCAGAGGGGAAAGGAGGAAGGAAGCGACGCGGUGCUCCUUCGCGAGAAAAAAAAAAAAGAAAAAAAAAGAAAAAAAAUAAAGAAAAAUAAAUGAGGAGGGAAAAAAAAAAAUCCUGAAAAAUCGGAUUUAAUUCCUUCGCAGUUGCAAAAUGUAUCCAGUGGAGAGGAAGAGCCCGACCCGCUCCGCCCGGCCCCGCCGCUCGCUCCGCGCUUUCCAAGAGUUUCUUUCGCUGCGCUUUUGUGCUGGGAGCGCGGCGUGCACCGCACACCGCCUCCCCCCACUCCUCCUCCUCCUCCUCCUCUUCUCCUCCUCCUCCCAACCCAACCCAACCCCUCCGGCUCCCCCAGCAGUGAGGCCGAGCGCACACGCCCCCCUCCGCUCGGCUUUCCGCGCAAUUCUCGCGCAACGCACCCCCACCCCUUUUUCUUUAUUAUUAUUUUUUUUCUUCUGUAUGUUUGUUGUUGUUUUCUUUUUCCCCCUUUUUUAUUUUCGCUUUUCCCUCCCCCCACGCUCCCCUCGGAGGAGAAACUUUGCGAGGGGAUCCGCGUCCAGGCAAGAGCCCGCGGAGGGGGCGCGGGGCGCGGCAUCGCGAAGGAGAGAUUGGGGCGGGGAGUUCCAUAGGGGGAGAUUAAAAAAUAAAUAAAUUGGGGGAAAAAAAGAUUACCGGGGAGGGGGGUUGGGGGGUGGGUAGGAAAGGAGAUUAAUUAUUUUUUUUUUAAUUAUUGGGGAAAAAAAAAAAAAAAAAAACCUGAACCGAGUCCAAAAUGGCUUCUAAAAAAAAUGGGAGAAGCCAAAGCGGAGCCAACGAGGGGGAAACCCGGAUGUUUGAUACAAAGAGGGCUGGAGGGGGGCGGAGCGGCGCGGGGGCUCCGCAGCUCUGAGUGGGGCGCGGCGCUGCCCGUCAACCCCGCGGAGCGCCGCGCACCGCCCGCGGCUCCUGCGGCCGCGCUGCGCCGGGAGGUGCGGGGCUGGGGGUGCGGGGGGAGCCCCUGCGCUGUCCUUGUUAGGGCCCUCCCGGGGUUAGCGGGCUUCUCUCCAUCGCCAGCGAUGCGGGCGCUGCGCUCCGCCCGCGAUUUCUUGCAAUUAUAAGGCGAUCGUGCGGAAUUGGGGAGCCCGGAGAGGUCUUAGGGGGGUGAAAAAAGGGGGGUGGUCAGCUUGGGUGCCCUACCUAAGCUUUGGGGAUUUUGCCCUGCAGGGAGGUAAGAGGAAAUGGAAAUCGUUCUCUGCAAACUUUGGGAAGCGCUUUGCUGCGAGGAGAAAUUCUGGUGGGGUUUCUUUUUUUUUUUUUUUCCCCACCUUUGGGAAACUUAGCUGUGUAUGUGUAACAGCCAUGGAACGCGCUCUGAGCUGUAUAAGCGGGAUCCCAAGUGGAGCUGCAAGGAGCUGAUGACCGGUAUCCUUCAUGCUGCCGUGCUUCCUCAUGCGUGUGCUGCGUGGAAGGGGGGGGGCACCCACAGAACCUCACACACACGGCAUGGGGAGGUCAUGGGGAUGGUGCAGCUGGUGCAGUUGCAGGAAAGCAUCCAAAAUAAUACAAACGCGGGGCAAACAGCACCGAAACCAAAGCCCGCAGGGAGUCAGGAGAAAGCAAGGUGUGUUGUGGCACCUGGGUAAGUUAAAGCGUGGGUGGGAGAUGAGAUGGAGAUGAUGUGUUUGUGAGAGGGCAGAGCGGGGGGGCUGAGCCCUGCUCCCUGCAUUGGCACAGUCUGCCCAUGGAGGCAGUGGGGUCACUGACCAUGGAGGACAUCAAGAGCCGUGGAGAUGUGGCACUGGGAGACAUAGUGGGCAUGGUGGGGUGGGUUGAUGGUUGGACAAGAUGGUCUUAGAGGUCUUUUGGUCCUUAAUGGUUCUACCAUUCUGUGAUUCUGUGACUGCACGGGGGUGCAGUGGGACUGGAGAUGGGUGCAGUGGGGAGAGGGGGGUUCCUGGCUGAUGCUCAGGGAAUGUCACAGCUUCAAGGGAAGACCAAACGUGAGCCAACAUCUCCUACAGGGCUGCUUGUUUUGUUGAAGGACAAGCUCUGAAACAGCUGAAGAAUGGAGGAAUGGGCGGGACAGUGAAAUAUAAACAUGCUGGCAUCCGUCAGUAUCCAUCCUGCAUGUUCAGCUCUGACCAAGAGAAGCGCAGCCCUCCAGUCGGGCUCCCCAGUCACAGAAUCACACACAGAAUCACAGAAUGGCCUGGGUUGGAAGGGACCUCAGGGAUCAUGAAUCUCCAACCCCCCUGCUGCAUGCAGGGCCACCAACCUCCCCAUUUAAUACUAGACCAGGCUGCCCAGGGUUUCAAUCACAGCACCGUCACGGAGUCCCUUUCCCAGCAUCCCAAUUUGUGCCCUAUGGCCCCCAGGGUGAGUUUUGCCCCUGUGUAAGCAAUCCCCCCCUGUUCUCCUUUAUCCCCUGUGCACCUGGGCGGCAUCCGCCUCGCUUACAUUGUUUCACAGGGAGGUGUUUACCCGCCCGAAAAGCUAAAAUGUUUUCACCUCUUGCAACUUGAAAGCACAGGAGCUGUAUGGCGGAUGGGAAUGUUACAGCCUGGGCACGAGGGCACUCGAAAACCUCACCAACCUUCAGGAGUUUUGGAAACGGGGCUGGAGGGAGGUAGCGGUUAGGGUUAGGGUUAGGGUUAGGGUUAGGUGCCAUCAUUGCACCCUGCGGUCUGAAAGCCCUCCUGCAUUUAAAACACAUUCUGUCCGGGCUGGUUUCGUGCCGCCCAGAGUCCUGUGACGCUCAAUCUUUGCCGUGUGCCAUUUGGAACAAGUGGGCUGCGUGCAUCCCGAUACCCCGUAUGUGAUGAAGGUAUUGGGAUCGCUUAAGCCGGCACAGAGCUGCGGUGCUCGCGUGUCAUUUGUCUUCAAAUCCUAUUGUAGCGCUCGUGAGAUGUAAUUUCUGCAGUGAAUGGCAAUGUGUGCUGACAGAGGUGUUAUAAAACACGGAAAAUACGGAGGGAAGGGACCCGGCGUUUCCUUUCUCUCCCCCUUUAUGCACUGACGUGGAUUUAUUUUGCAGCGUGCAGGGCAGUGAUGCAGCCCCUCUGAUCGCUCUUCAGCCCUGUGAGGGAACCCACAUUGCCUGCAACAGGUGAGGAGCACGGACUGGGGGACCCAGGGCAGCAAAAUGGUGUGUUCUGGCUGCAUUUCCCAUCGUGGUUCCUCACGCAGUGCUGUGGGUAGGAUAGGAGGCAUGCACCAUUCUCAAAAUGCCUGGGCUAAGAGAAACAGAAAUUGUAUAUGACUUCAUGUGAGUAAGCUUGAGCAAAUAAAUUCUCCCUUUACCUGCUGUGUCGCCAUUAAGUCCUUCCCGAUAAUGCGUUCCAUGGAACCGGGUCUCAAUAACACGUAGGUCGCUCCGAAAGUAAUGCCUCUUAUUUAUUUCCAUGGAAACUACAACUGAUACAAAGAGUGCAAUAGCAUUAUUUGAUAGUGCAAACCCUCAGCUACAAACCACUGUUUUUCAGUGUAGGCAUCACCAUUAGCUAUGCAUUUUCCCCAGCCAUGAACAAGUCUGCAUGCCACGCUUGUACAAAUCUGCACCGUUUCACAGCUGCUAUGAUGGAGUUAUUGCUGGGAGUCUGACUUUCACUCUGCUCACAUCUACUGUUAGGUCUCCAUAACCAUUCAGCAAGCAUUGAUGAAUGCCAAUGGCUGCCAUUUUUUUCUGCAUAGAGAAAUUGAAUUCCACACCUUUUCUUUAUAGGCACUUUCAUGUCAGACACCAUUCUGUCUGACUGCCCCUCUGCUGCCAUCUGCCACAUGGCAACAAAAUGUAAUGGAAUAUGGUUGGAAAGGUUCGACCUCUUUUGCCAUCCUACCAACAUCCACCUCUGACGAUGUGAACCAGCAUCACAAAAUAGGAGGCAUUACUUUCGGAACAGCCCUUGUGUAACAGUGUCCUAAGUUGUCAGUCGGGAGCUACAAUUAACUUCCCUGGUAUUUCUAUAUUUGCAGCAGCUCUAAAUGAGAGCCGGGACCUCCAGACGCUCCUGUGCACCAUCCCUGCCGCUGUCUGAAUAAGCUCGUGGGUUUUGCACUAAAAAAGCCCCCCCCCCCUGUGCUGACAAAUCUGCCCUUUGCGGUCUGGCUUCAGCAGGGCCAGUAAAAAUAGUGAGGGAUGGGGCAGACACUGCUGCUUUCAGGGCUUUUCUUAGCUCCGGGCUACAGAGCGAGGCAUCAGGUGCUGACAGCUUGGGGGGUUACAGCGGGCGAAGGGGUCCGUUCCUGAGAUGCCCAUAGACCAACAGUUUUGUGAGCUGCCACAACUGGGUUUUUUCCUUGUGGUUUUUCUUUGGUUGUAUUUUAAGUAGCAGCAGGCAGCAUCAGAGCCACACAACAAAGCCUCCCAAAAAAAAAAAGCAGAGGCCCGGCCUUAAUCCACACCCCCAACCCUGACAGCAGCCGGGAACCACAGCACGUCCGUGCUCAGCAUGGAGACUUCUGCACUCAGACAAGGAGGAUUAUGGGCAUCAUAUGACUGACUGCAAUGACGGUGUGUGCCUAAUUGGUGAAGGGCUGCGUUUUCUAUCUUUAACACAGGACACAAAGAGCCAGCGGGCUGCCUCAUGCACAAGGUUCCUUUCAGGUGCUUUCUUCACUGUGCUUUACCCAGAGGGCUGUGGAUGCCCUGUCCCUGGAGGUGUCCAAGGUCAGGUUGGAUGGGGCUUUGGAUAAGCCGGUCUGGUAGGAGGUGUUUGCCCAUGGAAGGGUUGGAACUGGAUGGGUCCCUUCUAACUCAAUUCAUUCUGUGAUGAUGCUGACACAGCUGAGCUGGAGGGCAAGGCAUGAAGCAUUGCCGGGCUCAGUGCGUGCUUGGAUCAGGUCAGGGCAGCAUUAAAUGCUGCACUCCUUUGAGUGCCUGCCAGCCAUGGGGUUUUGCAGUGUCUGAAGCCCAGGAAUGCAUCAUUCCUUCAAUCAGAAGAACACAUUUGGUUGCAUGUCCCACCACCCACUUCAGUUACCAUCCUCUAUACGUGAGUAUAGUAUGGAAUCAUAGAAUGGCUUGUGUUGGAAGGGACCUCAAAGCCCACCCAGCUCCACCUCUGCCGUGAGCACCUCCAGAGAUGGGGCACCCACAGCUUCUGGCUGCCUGUGCCAGCGCCUCACCACUCUCUGCGUAAAGAAUUUCCUCCUCACAUGUAACCUAAAUCUGCCCUCUUUUUAGUUUUAAGAACAUUUCCCCUUGUCCUAUCACUGUCAGACCAUAAAUUUGCCCACAUUGUCUUCAGUUGUUGAUACUUGACCUGAAAAUACAGCUACUCUACAGUGUGUAUGAGCAACACAGAGCCAAACGCUCACCUCUCCAGCUCCCUUGCCUUCCUCCCUCCCUAGGUGUUUGGUUGGCAGAAGAGCAUCAUCCUUCAAAUUCCAAGUUUUAUUUAAAAAGCUGGACUUGGCCCUUUAAAACCAUUUGCAAUCCAUCAGUGAGAAGGUUCACAUGGAAGCAUCAUGCCACUGAAAUCAUCCAUGCCAGCGGGGAUAUUUCAACCAACCCCAUCCUUCCUGCUGCCGUCUCUGCAGCCAGCUGGACCACGCUGCAGCUUUGGCUUUCAGCUCUUACCUGUGGCCUUGUGCUUUCUGACACGCUCAAAGCACACAUAGAAGGACCAAUAAAACACGUCCCAGAGCAUCUGCUGUAUUUUUAGAGUUUGUCCCAGAUUAUUGGCCUUUGUUCCAGAUUUCAGUGGUGAGAGUAUAAGAAUGCCCAGUGGGGCCAAAUGCAUCCUGCACUGCACUCCUGAAGGCUUGAAUCAGGAAAAAUACUCUCCCAGAGAAGAUAAAUAAUUAAGUUUUUGUGGCAAAUACUGCCAUUAGCAGGAGGUGAUAAGCAUUCAAGACUACAGUGUAUAUAGAGCAAGGCAGAUGCACUGAGCUUCAAAUUGCAACAUUGCUCUGUUAUGUUGUACUGAGUAAUGAACUGGGCAUCUCUGGCACAGUGAUUUUUCUUUUGUUUGUUUUGGGUCCACGUUUUCCUUUUACACCAUGGAUGAUGGCCUUUGCUUACUGGGAGCUAAGUUGUCUGGAGGAGACCCAUCUUCAUGUGCUGGCAGCUGGUGAAGUGCAAAUGGAGAGGUGAUGUUGAAAGGGAUCUUCAGGUGUCACCCCGUCCAUCCUCCUCCCUUUGGCAGUGUGUAUUGGACCUUUCUUUAGUCUCCCCCAGCCAAAGUGGGCCAAUUCAUCUGUCCUCUCUCUCUGUUCAGCCCUCCUGGUUACACUGCAGAACCUUGGGAUGCUGCAGGGCUCCUUGAUGGGCUCAUUCAAGCAACUCCCAAGUUUCACAGGCACUCACCUUGGUCUUAUUGGUUCACCCUCCUAUCAGCUGCUUUGCACUCAGAUGUCCUAAUAUGCCGUCUGCAGCAGCUUCCUAGCACAGAGCAUACUGUGUGUCAUAAGAGUACCAGGUGUGAAAACUAUUCAGUUAAGUUCUCCAUCACUAUUCCAUCCAUCUUCUAGAGAGACAGGACAGACACACUGCUGAUACGGGUGCAGGUAAGGUGCUGCUGCCUGUAAAAAGAACCCACUCUGCUUCCCAGCCUUCAGCUCUUGGAUAUUUUGGCAUUUUAUCAGGGUGAAACGCAUUCAGAAGUGAGAGCAACCAGCCCUGCUGGUCACGAUGCCAGGAAAUGGUGGGCAUGAGUAGUGCCUCAAUGGGACGAGAGGUAAUUGCUUUACGUUGUGCCAGGGGAGAUUUGGGUUGGAUAUUGGGUGGUGGAGUCACUGCCCUUGAAGGUGUUCAAGAACUGUGAAGCUGUGGUGCUGAGGGAUGUGGUCAGUGGGCAUGCUGGGAGUGGGUCAAUGGUUGGACUUGGUGAACCUGGCAGUCUUUCCAACCUUCAAGAUUCUAUGAUUUUCUCCAUGGAUAUCAGAAGAACCAAACAGAAGUUGUUUUGCAGUCAGUCUAAAGGUUUUAUCUGCUCGUAGGUGUCUUGGUGUACAAUAAACUGGGAUUUUGUCCUUCGGAAAGAAUGUUGCACUUCAUUUCUCAGCUUUGCUGGCCCCAUAUCCCUCCAUCUUCUCUUGCUUCCAAAGGCUACCAAUCUCAUUCCUUGUUUUUGCCACCAAAUGUCACUCAUUUGUGUUGAGAAACAGGAACUGGCAGCAGGGAAGUUGCCACUAAUCCAGCAAGUUUCCCAGUUGUAUCCUAACUGUGCUGAGGGAUAGUGCACAGACACUUAAUUAUUCUCCUGUCAGAGAUUAAAUAGAUUGCAACUCCUAACACCAGAUCUGAAUAUAAAUCAAUAAUAAGGGACAGAGGAGAAAGAUUUAAAAAUUAUGCCAAUGGUGGAAUGGGACAAGGACAAGGAGGGUGAGGGACAUAUGGCAGAAGUACAGGAUGGGAGUGUUCUUGUGGCCUGGGUUCCUGCUCAAGCUUCUCCAGGAUCUCUUAUGGGCUUUGCUUUACUUAUCUCUUAAGACCUGAUCAGAAUGGGAACAAUGGGCUUUAUCCACAGAAGUAAUUAAAAUGUUGCACUCCUUGGCAGGGGAGUUAAAAUCAAUUUCUCCAAUACAAGAUGAGGAGCAAUUGGCCAGGCUGCUGCCAGGCAGAAAGGAUCCAGCACCGUGAUGUUUACGAGGUCUGUGGGAAUCCAGCUCUGCCAAAAUAUCACAGUGGUGCUGGGAUGCCUGUGCAGAGAAGAACACAGCAGGAGGCACAGGACAGUCUCUCCAUUCAGCUUGGCAAUAGUAGGGCCUUGGCUCAAGAACAAUUUCCACACCUCAGGAAAGAUAUGGCUCAGCUGGGAAAAGCCCAGAGAGGUGCAAAGAGAAAGAUUGGAGGUGUAGAAAACCUGGCUUUGAGGAAAGGCUGACAGGGAGAGAAGUGUGUGGUCUGAGGAGGGGACCAAUGGGAGACAAAGCAAGCUGCCAAACACAUGUGAGGCAAAUGCAAAGAGGAGUGGUACAAUGUGUCCUUGAGAGGGGAGAUUUAGGUUGGAUAUAAGGGAAACUGGAUAUAAGGGUAGUGACUCGCUGGCAGAGAUUGCCCAGAGAAGGUGGUGGGUGCCCUGUCCCUGUUUACACCCAAGGUCAGGCUGGAUGGGGCUCUGAGCACCUGAUGGAAGUGUGGGUGUCCCUGUUCACUGCAGGGGAGUUGGACCAGAUGGCUUUUAAAGGUCCCUUCCAACUCAAACAAUUCUAUGAUUCUAUGACCUUCUGCAAGUAGGGUGAGUAAAGAGCUUAGUCUUCAACAGACAACAUCAGGAGAAACUUCCCAGUGCUAUGAAUAGUUUAGCAUAGGGACACAUCACUGUUGUCACUGCAGAAAGCUUUAGUCAAAGGGCUUGCAGGAUGGUUUGUGUGCCACUGGUACCAGGGGCCUCCUGGAGGGCUUUUUCAGACUUUCUUGUCUUGUUUCUUCCAGUUGCAAAUGGAAUCAUUAGAAUUCACUGCUUGAGUGUCUAUGAAGACCUGCAGCAGUAGUAACCCCCAUCUGCAAUGAAAGAGAUUGCAAGAGCAGUCCUGUGCAUAUUUAGCCAAUGUGCAGCUCCUAGGGCUGGUGGUACAGACACAGGCUAGCAAAUACAUGUGCCAUAGCCACAGAAAUUGGUUAUUCUACAGCAUUACAAAUCCAACCUAUCUCUGACAAGCAAGCACUGCACAAUAGCAAAGCUUUUCUGCGUGAAAUGCUGCAAAAAAAAAAUAUCAGUUACGUUUAGUGUUACAGUGGCACAAAGAAAAUCUCAUUAGAACACACUGACAGUGAUCUGCUAUAAAAGGAACAGAAGCAAUUUGUAAGCUCUAUGAAAAAUGCAUCUCUGUUCUGCCCCAUUCUCACAGCCUGCUGCUACUCUAGGACAGAUUUCCAGUGAGUAGGAUCUGUGCCUUCUUGCUUAGUUAGCUCUUAAAUACCACGUUUUAUUUGCUUGGAGACUUGAACAAUAAAUAGCAAACACUCUUGUCCCUAUUUUAAACACAUGGUAACUGCAGUACGGAGAAAUGAAAUGACUUGUUCAGGGUCACAGAGCAAUUCUGUGACAGGGCUAAGACCAGAACCCAGCUCCCUUGCUCCCAAACCCAUAUUCCAGCCUUCAGCUCUUCACUGAUGCUGGAUUUUAAUCACCUUUCAGGGAAGUCUGUUGGCCUCUUCCAGUUGACUUCCAUGGGAGUAGUGCCAGGUACCAAAUGAAGCCUCUGGGAUGCAAAAGAAGCCAAUGUUAGAUGUUAGGAGAAAAGUGAUGGAAGGGGAAAAAAAAAAAACCACACAGAUUUUACAGAAAAAGGAGUAAGUUCUAGUGUCAGUUCCGUAAUAUCAUUCCCUCUUUAAUUUGUGUCUGGUCAAAAUUAAAAAAAAAAAUAGAUUGCUAAUAUUAAUAGAUGAAAUGAAUCUUGAAUUUUAUAAUAAUGGAGGAAAUGAAAGGAUGAAAAUGAUACUGUGUUGUUAACUGAGAUUUUAAUAAUGAUUCUGUCCUCAGUUGGUGCAUUUGUUCCACAGAAAGUAAAUCAUUAAUGAAGAGAGACUGGAAAACAGCGUUACGGUGAUAGAUUUUGAAAGAAAAGUUGAGUUUUGUUGAACUCCUAGAAAGUCUGUAACAUACUUGCAGCUCCGAAAGUGAAGGACAAACAUCUCAAAAGCAACCCCCAUAGAUGGGUUUGACACAGUGGCUUACAGUGCUGAGGGUAACAUGGAGCAGUUCCUGUGGCUUCUCUCCAAGAGCGCUGAGGUGGAUGGAAGAGUUAGGUUAGAGAUGUCAUUUUGUUUGGAGAAAGGAAGGUUUGAAAUACCUAGAGAGCAGAAAAUGAGAAACUGAAGGAGCCCACCAAACCAGACUCUUCCUACAGAUUCCACGGACUUUUUUGGGGUCUUCUUUCCACCAUGUCCUCCACAGAGGGUGGAUGGUUUCUAACCACUCUUGAACUUGUGAGGCCAUUUGACUUCCCAGGUGAAGAGAGAACCUGCCAAGGCCACCUCAUCCAAUGGGAGCUCUUGAUCUACCCACUGCUAUCUUCAGCCAAUCCAAGGAUCCCCAAAACCAGGGCCCCUUGGAGCAGCAGCGUAUUUCAUACCCUAGCUUGAAAUGUCAAGUAGGGGGAGGGUUGCAUUCUCAGAGCAGUGGAGAAAACCAUCUUGGUACCUGGGAUUUGGGGCCUGAGAAAAAGCAAGUGUGGAACGUACAUGCCUCUGUGUGCAUGAUGGAGAUGGGGGAAAAGACAGCACUCCUCUGAUUCCUUAAUCAACAAAGCACCCCAAGGCUGAAUGCAGAAAUUUGCAAAUUAAACAAUCUUUUUGUAUUUAAAUUAUCAAAUCAAUAAAGAGACGCAAACAUUAAACAACAUUAUAUGAGAGCCUGGAGUGUCACCACAAAAAUUAAGACUGUGUAAUUAAAAGUACAAUGCAAUUUAUUUUUAUAUCGCUCUUCAUUCGAAUCAACAAAUGUUAUUACUUACCCAAAAAUGUAAAGCAGUCUGCAAACUAAUUUAAAAGAUAAAGACAAAGUGACUAUCGAAGAACCUAUGUUUCUUGGUCCCUUAGAUCUGGCAGCUGUCAUGAUUUAAUAUUUUAACUACUGUAAUAGGUUAUAGUGCUGAAGAAAAGUGCAUUAAUUACUAUGGGAAACCUAAAAAAAAAAAAUCUAAUUAAGAAGAGUAAAAUCAUUUUUAUUGACUGGGAAAAAUAAGACUAUGUAAAGGGAAAUGAAGGAUGAAAAAAAUGAAGACACAAACGCUAAUAGAUGUGGCCUGUGCAGGAUAGGAAACAUACCUCUAAAGUUGAUGGUGUUGUGGAUUUGAAUCUGGAGAGAGACUGCGGUUUGACAUGGCCAAAGCACUCCUCCAGCAUCUCACCCACCGGAAGCAUCUUCUAAUUACAUACAGCACAGGGACUGGUGUUUGCUCCAAAUUCAGCUCAGCGUAUCCAUGCAGAGCCAACUCCACUGGCUGUUUCUGAAACAGCAGCCAAGAGAGUGAGAUUGUGCUGCAGUCAUGGGUGGAGUAUGGGGUAACAACGUAAUAACCUCAAUAGCUGCCAUCCUUCCUGAAGAGUCAGAGAGGACACGUGUAAGAAAUCAGUCCCGCGUCCCAAACCAUGCAGUACAUCAAGCCUGGGGACACAGUAGGGAUGGAGCUCCAUUGGCAAAUGCAAACCUCUCAAAAUGUCCAUGGAUGUUACAAAAGAGGGAGAUGAUGCCAUAGGGUCAGCAGCUACACUAAGUAUUUAAACAAAUGCAUGCCAUGUAAUUACUUCAGCUGAUAAUGGUAGCAUUUGCACAUGUUCAAGCCAGAAGUUCUGCUUCGAUCAUUUGUAUUUACUUCAAUAUAAAAUAGACUGUAGCAGCUUGGCCAGUACUGAACCCAGGAAUUUGUACAUCAUUAAUACCUCCAAAUAUGAAAAAUUACUGGCAUAGAUUUUGAACAGCCCUUCCAGGAUUACAAAUCUUCAUCAAAGGCAAGAUGACUUGUCUGAGGAAUGACUUCAAGAUUCAGUGAUCACAUACCAUGCCUGAGAGGAAGAAACUAAGUGAAAUCUUUGCGACAAAUGAUGCUAUUACAGAUAUGUGCUUGCACAGAAAGCCAGCAAAAGGGCACUGCAACACCAUAGCUAAGUUCUGGUGAUAUUAUUGACACCCACGGUCACACAGCUCUUUGCUCAAAGGUAACCGUGUUCUUCUUUCCCACCUUCACCCGCAGGAAACAAGGUCACAAAGCAGUAGGUGUAGGCAGGGAUGUUUUGGAGGGGGCUUUCAUUGACUGGAGGUCAUUUCACAGCACAGAAACAUCACAGCAGCAAUAGCUUUUGAUUAGCAGAGAACUUUUAUGUCAAAUCGUGCAAAACACACAAGGAUUACUCAUGAAGGGUAGGUAUCACAUAGACUAUGUGUGAGAAAUCAACACAGGGGUUACAGAAACAGCCGCUAGUUAUGAAGCAUAAAAAUAAGCAAAGAUUAAAUUCACAUCUGAGAGGAAGAUAAAAGUUGUUGUUUUAAUGCAGUAGUAUCCACAGGCCUUGGCUGCAUUGGGAUCAUAGAACCAUGGAAACGUUAAGAUAGGAAAAGACCAUUAAGAUCAUCUACUCCAACUGUCCCCUACCACCAGUAUCACCCACUGACCACAUCCCUCAGUGCCACAUCUCCACAGCUCUUCAACACCCCCAGGGACGGUGACUCCACCACCUCCUUGGGCAGCCCAUGCCAGUGCAUUGCCACUUCAUCUGAGAAGAAAUUGUUCCUAAUAUCUCACCUAAACCUCCCUUAGCGUAACCUGAGGCCAUUACCUCUCAUCCUAUUGCUGUUACCUAGGAGAAGAGGCCAUACAGGAUACGUGGACAUAAGGACACUGAGCUCCUGCAUGACCAGAAACCCAGGGCUGAUGAGAUCCCAAUACAAAACUCGCUUUUUGUGCCAUGUAUUCAUAACACGUAAGCAGGUCAUGGAAGCUCCGGAGCAGUUGGGGCUGUAGACUGUUGGCCAGGGAUUGUAUGUUUUAGCCAAACAAAUGUGGGUCUGGCACCUCUCCUCGCUCUGACAUCCCUCAGCUAACUCUGUGUGCACCUUAGGGUACAGAGGUAGAAUGAUAAAUGCCUGAGGUGGAUGUGGAGCAUCAGAGCAGGGGAAUGUCACAAGGGCAGUAGUGGGAUUAGACUUGUCUCAUUUCAGGAAUCCACAGAGAAGACAUUUCCAUCAGGCUGCCACUGGGCUUUCAGGAAGCAAGAAGAAAUAAGUAUUUUUAUUGUGCAAUUCAGCCUCUCUGUUUUAACUGUCUACUUCAGGGUGAGAUGAAUCACUGUAGACUCCAUUGACUGUAUUGAGCGGCUCUCCAUUGACUAGCAGAGAAGCCACGAGUGGCCAGCUUAAAUACAGAUUUCUCCUUUAGUUGGGUGAAUCUACCCAGUUCUCCAUACCAUGGUGUGAGUUGGCUGCUCUGAGCUGCUUGAGCUGUGGCAUUUCAGUCAAUAACUUCCACAGCAGGCAUAGUAUUUCUGGAGAAACGACACCAAUCAUGAAGAGUUUGCAAUGUAAACAGAUAAAAGGAAUAGUAGUUAGCUAACUGUGGUGCCUUGUGAUCAAGGUUAGACAGUAGGAAACACAACCUACACCUCCUGUACCACACCCCUGAAGCUCUGCACCUCUUUUAUAGCAGUAUAUUCACAGAGAGACUAGUUCAGAUAUGUGCUGAAUUUUGCAGUCAAUACUCUCCAUCCAAACUGGAGGGAUAUCCAACAGGACAAAAAGGUGAUUGUCCCCUUUUACUGUGCCCCUGUGAGGCUACAUCUGGAGUAUGGCACCCAGACCUGGGGUCUCCAGUAUAGGAGAGAUGUGGAGCUGUUGCAUUGGGUUCAAAGGAGGGCUGUGAAGAUGAUCAAAGGGCUGAAGCACUUCUCCUAUGAAGAAAGCUUGAGGGAACUGGGCUUGUUUAGCCUAGAGAAGAGAAGGCUGUGGGGAGAUCUCGUUGUGGCCUUUCAGUACCUGAAGGGAGUUUAUGAACAGGAGGGGGACUGGCAGGUAGGUAGCGACAGGACAAGGGGGAAUGGCUUUAAACUAAAAGAGGAGAAAUUUAGGUUUGAUGUUAGGAAGAAAUUAUUCGCUCAGAGGGUGGUGAGGCCCUGGCAAAGGCUGCCCAGCGAAACUGAGGAUAUCCAUCCCUGGAGGUGCUGAAGGGCAGGUUGGAUGGGUCCCUGGGCAGACUGAUCUGAUGAGAGGUGUCCCUUCCCAUGGCAGGGGAUUGGAAUUAGAUGAUCUUUAAGGUCCCUUCCAACCUAAGCCACUUUAUGAUUCUGUUGAAGCCAGAUGUAAUGCUCCUGUGGCUGCUGCUGCAUCAUAUCCCCAGUGCAUCAACCACCUCUGAGGAACCCUUGGGUCACCAGGAGAGACACUGGCUGGGUCAGCAAGUAAGCCUAAGCUCGAAAGAGAGAAAAAAAGUCCGUCUGUAGACGCAUGUACUGCUAAAAACAAAAACCAGCCUACACGCAGAAGAGCGGCAGCCCCUACAUUGCGGUGUGCGUCCACACACAGCCCGUUGUUCCAGAAACUCCAUCUCCCUUCAGCUGUGAUCACUCCUGACUGUUUGCAGUCUGUGUGCAGUGACGUGCAUGGAAUAUUACUAUGAAAAUGUGCGUUCUUGUUAAUAGGUAUAGUUUAGGAUGAUUGUUAGCAGAGCAUAAGGCCUUAUUGAUUGAAAGUGGCAUAUGGAAAGGAUGUAUAAUGAUUCACUUUGGCUGCUAGUUUGAAAUCCUAUUCAUGAGAGGGGAAAAAAAAAACCCACAACACUCUCCUUUGCAGUCAGGCUUCAUUCUUUCUGCAGCAUGUUUUUCAAUCUGGGCCAUUUUACAAGUGAUCCAUAGGGGAGAUUUCCUGCUCUCCUGGGUGUGUGCUCAAAGCUCUUUUCAGUCCGGCAAGGGCAGGUCAGAGGAACAAAAGCUGAAGUUAUCACACGUCUCUCUAGGAGGGAAAGGUUGGCUGUGCUGCAGCUCUCUCCUCUAAAAUUCUUUUUCGGGGAAUUUAGUGUUUGUGAAGGGUGAAAAUCUGAUGCUGACAUUUGUACCCAAGGUAUCUUUGAAAGACAAAGCAGCUUGGCUCUGCGAGCUGCAUAGAAGGUGAGCAUUUUCUGGAACCAGCUUCACCAGGGGGGAAAGAAUGCAUGUCCCUGCAUGGCAUUAGCAAAUACAGAGUAAUUAGCCAGAGGUGAAAACCCGGUGACGGCAAAGCAGCCAUAGUAUUAACACAUGUGAGCUGACAGAGAUAAGCCCUGAGGACCUCAUCCAUCUUCUGUGUGCCAGCGGGUCCAAGUGAAGCUGGGACUGUCUCCCCUGCUUUGCCCUGUGUAGGUUGACGAGGUGAGCACACACUUAAUUCAACACCCACUGCCACCACCAUUGCCAGGAAGGAUGGGUCUUGCCAGGGAUAGUUGAACAGUAACUUCUAUCCCUGCAAGAUGAUUUGAGCUGUCCUUCAGCCUCCAUCACACAGGGAAAACUCAGGAGAUUGAGUUGAGUUCCUCAACUCAGGGCACCUUCCCUCAAGGUCCUAACUGAGCAGAAGAUCACCUCAUCUGGGGAGCUGGCUGAUGGGGAGAAGGAGCAUGAUCUAUUCCUACGCGUGUAACCCUUCAGACCUCACCGACAUUUAGCUUGCUGAUUUAAUAGCAGCGUGAUGUUUGGUGACAUCUGGAUGUUUUUCUUGGCAACAGCCCCAUGAACGGUUUAAAUGGCAUUUCCCUCACUUCUGGAAAUACAGCCCUUGUGUUUUCCCCCAAGCAAAUAAGGAGUGGAGCGUUCAUAAGUGGGAAAAUUGAUGCUUUCUAGGAAUUGCAUACAAGGUGCUAAGUAACCCAUUUGAUUGUCAUCCAGAAGCCCUGGGCUUGCUACAUGGUCUUGCAUGAUUCUUUUUUUUUCCAGUGAAAUACCUCUUCAAGAUGGUCUCGAGGAUUUGCCUGUGGUAGGCUUAGCAGAGCUCUCUUGAAUAAAACAGCUCUGAACAAGCAAAUAAACUGAAUGCCUUUCAUUAUACCUGUCACCAGUUUAUUUACUCCAUGGCCUCUUUCUGCCAUAAAAGUCUUGAGUGAUUUCAGCAUACUAAAACAUCUGCACUCAUUUUCAGAAAAUAACAAUGACUGCCAAUGUAUGAAAUCACUAUUUUCUCAGAACAUCUAUUGUUUGGUGUCCGACCCACAUUGUUUCUCAUCCCUUGCAAGUGGUUUACAAUGAAAUCCACUUUAUUUACUGUGAAAAGCAAAGCAUAUCAGAGUUAGACAAUUGACUGUAAGCUUUCAGUCAAUAACCAUUUAUUUUUGUGCAUGCUGCAAUGUAGUUCAUUGAUAUUGGUGGUGAAAUUCCCAUUUGGAGGUGCCUGUUGGGUCUUGUGCCAGAUCCUGGGCACCUGCUAAGUGUAAGCUGGUGUUCCUCAUCAUGCACCUUCUAAAGCUGAAUCCAAUCUGCUCAGACUCUUUCUGUAGGCUUCAUAAGCCAUCCUGCAGUGAGCACUCAAAAUUUAAGAUCUCAUAUGAAUGCAACACUCAAGCAUCACUUAACUGGAGUGCUGAUUAGGAACUUUUGCAAGAGAUUGAGCAAUUGACAAGUGAAUCAUAGCUGCACCACAGUGUCUCAGUCUUGAUUCUUGGUCUGUGGCCAACAUCGACUCCCACUGAAGGUCUUUCUUGUACAGUUUUCCUGAGGAUGCUUUGUAUGGGGUCAUCAUAUCUCAGAGAUAAACACUGGGGAACUGAAGCAUGCUAUUAAGCUUCUUAAAACAUUAGAAAGACAAUCAUUUCGACAGAAUUGAUGUUAAUCACACUUAUAUAAAAGCUUUUCAUCUUCAAAGCAUUUAACCAACAUUAAUUACAUGUAAUUGGCUUUUCCAAGUACGUCAUGCAAAAUGCACCUUUCAUGUCACUUGUCAUUGCUAUCUUACCUGGGAUUACUGAGAGAAGACUGUGCCUGCUCAGUGCAGCACAGCUUCCUGAAGCCACCUGAGGCCUCAUCUUGCAAAUCACAAAGGGCAGCAUUUAAAACAGCAAUUGCACAGAAUAGAGACACCUCAGUUGAACCGAGCGAUCCGUGAAAAGAAAU
rnacentral:lncRNA from 1 species